GGGCUACAGCCUCGACCUCCAAGACCACCUGCCCCCACCCUCCGAGCCAGAUUCCUGCCCUCUGAGGCCCCCGUCCCCAGGGCCAAUUCCGAUCGCGGAGACCCCAGGCCUGUUCUGGGCCGGGGGCUGGGCAGACUAGAGGGGCCCUGUGGGAUUCCCCCUCACCUAGACAGCCAUGUGUAGGAGCCGUUCAGGUGCCACGCGGCAGGCAGGCCUCGCCCCGGCAGGCCUGUGGACACUGGCCAGGCUGAAUCCACCAGAUCCUUUUUCCCAGACAUUUGGAAAUGACUCCAGGUGGGGGAGGGGCAGAGGGCCCUAACCUGCUCCCAGGGCUUCACAUCUGACCUCUGACACUAACCAGUGACCUCUGACACUAAGUCGCGUCUCCGUGUGUAAAAUGUCUAGUGGUUGUAAAUUACGCAAUUGUCAAGUUCGGCUCCAGCAUUUCUUGGCUUUUUAACAUGCAGGGGCCUCGGAACACGGCUGUGGGCAGCGUCCUUGAUCUUGACCUCUGGGAGGCCCUGGUGGCCAGGAAAACCCACUGGGGGGCAUCCACCUGUGUGCAGGGAGAGAGGAAAGAGGCCGUGAGCCGACAGACAGAGAUCGAGGACGGAGUGGGACACGGACGCUCCGGGCUGACACCUGAGCCCCCUUUCCCCCGUGGGCUGUGCGGGGGCUUGUGUCCCUGGGGGUGACACUGGGGGCAGGAAGGACAGGGAUCCUGCUUUCCCAGGCAGCAGGGGUGACGGAGGCUUAGGGAAAGCAGGUGAGGCAUUUUCCGAAAGAUUCUAAAGACCCGGCCCUGCCCCCUGCGGGGUCCAAAUCAGGAGGGGCUGUGGGGGGAGGAGUCGGGGAGGGGCCCCCCAGCCAAGAGCCCGCCAACCUCUGCUGGGGAGCCUCCCGAAUGGGGGCACCACCCGCCCCCGCCCCCCAGGCAGGGCUCAGAGGUCACCCAGGGUACUGGCCAGCUUGAGCCGGUGAAAUGGGUCCUGCGGGCCCCUGGGCCCAAGCCCGCCCGAACCCACCUGAGAGACCUCAGCCCUGUGGAGGGUGGCCAGGGCUCCUCCGCUUGAACGUGGCGUCCACGGGCCCAGCUCUCACUUCUGGGGACAAGGGCUCGGGAAGGGGCCGGGGGGCUGGGGUGGCAGGCUGCCCCCUGGCUCAGGUCAGGUGGGUGGUGUGAUUUCCUCAGCCAAGCCCGGAAGUGCAUCCCGGACGUGUGGGGACAAAACGAGCUGAGCAGAAUGACUGGGGUCCUCCCUUCAGGGACUCCCCUGCUGGCUUCCAGAAGGAUGGGGUGGGGGACAGUCACCCCCAUGCAGUCCUAUGAGGCCUCCCUGCAGAGCCCGGAGCCCUCAAUUCAGACCCAGCGGUUAGGGGGAGCAUAACGAGUUUCUCUGAUGCUUUAGCAAAUCACAGAAAAGCCUGAAUUCGGCGGCCUCCUUAACCCAGCACGCAGCCAGCGUGCGCUGCCCGCUGAACAGACAACCAGGCGGAUCUCCUGGAAGCUGCGCCAGGAUUUUCUGGAGAAAGACUGAAGACACGCCAGCACGGCCCCAUGAACCCUCCUAACGAAAGCACGGGGCCCACGCUUCCGGCCCGCACACACUUGAAAGCAGCCACUCCCCUGGUCCCGCUCGGAGCCCUUUCCUGCGCUGUGGUCUCGGGACAGCGGAACGCCUGCAAGCGCUCAUAGCCACUUGCAGACAAAUCUCCUUGUUUAUUUUAUGAAUGAGAGGGGACGUGAACGACUCCGAUUAAGUACAUUUCCAGGCUCCAAGGCCAAGAGACACUUAGCGCCAGCCCUUCGAAGCCCUAGAGAAGUCAGAGCCAGGUCCGCAGCGACGGCCCCUCGGGGUCUCCAAGCAGCUACAGGCUCCCCAGACCCACCAUCGAGGCCCCAGGAGGAUAUUCAACUCUUGGGACAGAGCAGAAGGGUCUCAGACAGGCAGACAGACCAGCACUAACCGGCUGGCCAAGAGCAGGCACUGGGCCCCCUGGCGUAAGGCAUCAGUCGGGCUGACCUGGGCAGGGAUGGGGCAGAGUGGGGACUGGCAUAAGCGCCCAGCUGCUCUGUGCCAGGUGCCCCCCUCCCUGCACCCCAUCUGGAGAGCCCACGUGCUGUCAGAGAAAGCCAGUGUGGGCCUGCGUGUGCCCCCGCCGGUCCCGGGGGGCCAGCCUCAGGCCCUGUCCUCCGUAUCCUCGCCACAGCCUCUGGGGCUUUUACAAGGACCCCGCAGCAUUUCUGCCAGCAGAGAAAACUCGGGCAAAACCCCACAACCUGCCCUCCCAUUGUCUCACCCACGAGGGGCCUGCCCAGGCCAGCGCGCUGGGACACUCAGUCCUGGCCUGGUUCUGGGGUAGAAAAGCAGGUGGCGUUCCCAUUGUGGCUCAGUGGGCUACAGACCCAACUAGUGUCCAUGAGGAUGCGGGUUUGAUCCCUGGCCUCGCUCAGUGGGUUAACGAUCCAGCGUUGCCAUGAGCUCUGGUGUAAGUUGCAGAUGAGGCUAGGAUCCCGCGUUGCUGUGGCUGUGGUGCAGGCCGGCAGCUAUGGCUCUGAUUCAAGCCCUAGUCUGGAAACUUCCAGUUGCCGCAGGUGUGGCGGCCACGUAAAAAAAAAACAGAAACAAAAAAAAUGAAAAAAUAAAAAAAAUUUAAAAAGAUAGAAACAAAGAAAGGAAUGCCUUCCUGGGUCCUCCCUGUGGACCCCAAAGGGAGGGGCAGCCCCUGGGGCCCCAGGAGGAGAGGAGGCCACUCUUAGGUCCUAGGGACAGCCUGGCCCACUCCACUGCUCACUGGGCAUCCGCUUCCUCCACUCCCAACCCCCAGUCCUCACACACACUUGCUCCCUGGACAGGGCGGUGGACUCCCAGCCUGUCGCCCCCUCCCGCCUCCCCCAGACCCCAGCUCGGGGGUGGGCAGGCAAUGGGUGUUCAAUAAAGACCAGUCUUGGGCAGGUUAAGGAUGGAAGGGGCCCAGGGCCCACUGCAGUCCUGCCAAGAGGGGGCUGGGCACCCCCUGCCUCUCUCCGGACUCUCACGCUCCCUCCUCAGCCAAGACCCUGCUCGAAGAACCCAUCAAGCCAGACAAUAGGCUCUAAAAAUACCCCGAAGGCCGGCGGGAUUUCCCAGGAACAUCGGUAAAUUCUGUCCAGCGGAAGUUAUAAAUACUAAAUAAUGCUAAUUCAGAGCCAUUCGUCAUCUGGGGACAGCCUCGUCCUUUGUGGGGUUAAGGGAUGUUUUUCCAAAUUCGUAAUUUAUUGCUCUUUACAGUUAAAUCCGGCCACGG
rnacentral:lncRNA from 1 species